AACUGGGUUCAGAACGUCGCAAGACAGUUCGGUCCCUAUCUGUGGUGGGCGCUAGGAAAUUGAAAGGACAUGACCUUAGUACGAGAGGACCGGGUCGUAUGUACCGCUGGUGUAUCGGUUGUUCCGACAGGGGCACUGCCGAGUAGCUAUGUACAGACAGGAUAAACGCUGAAGGCAUCUAAGCGUGAAACCUUCCUUAAGAUGAGUUUCCUUUUAAGGGUCGUCAAAGACUAUGACGUUGAUAGGCUAUAGGUGUAAAACUGGUAACAGUAAAGCCGAGUAGUACUAAUUGCCCGUAAGCUUUAAUUUUUUU
rnacentral:rRNA from 1 species